rnacentral:rRNA from 1 species
GAUGAACGCUGGCGGCGUGCUUAACACAUGCAAGUCGAACGAUGAAGCCCAGCUUGCUGGGUGGAUUAGUGGCGAACGGGUGAGUAACACGUGAGUAACCUGCCCUUGACUCUGGGAUAAGCCUGGGAAACUGGGUCUAAUACUGGAUAUGACUUCUCAUCGCAUGGUGGGGGGUGGAAAGAUUUAUUGGUCUUGGAUGGACUCGCGGCCUAUCAGCUUGUUGGUGAGGUAAUGGCUCACCAAGGCGACGACGGGUAGCCGGCCUGAGAGGGUGACCGGCCACACUGGGACUGAGACACGGCCCAGACUCCUACGGGAGGCAGCAGUGGGGAAUAUUGCACAAUGGGCGCAAGCCUGAUGCAGCGACGCCGCGUGAGGAAUGACGGCCUUCGGGUUGUAAACCUCUUUCAGUAGGGAAGAAGCGAGAGUGACGGUACCUGCAGAAGAAGCGCCGGCUAACUACGUG